ACCUCAAAGUAAUUUCCCCAGAUUUUGCCCUAACAGGGUGUCUGUUCCUAGAUCCUUUAGGGUGUGAUUGAGUUGAAGGACAAGAGAAGAAGGAGCUAGCUGAGUUGAGAAUGGAGGGUGAAGCCAUGCCUCCCUUUCCCUCACCUGUGUAAACUGGGUAUGAAGACAGAGGACACCAGGAAAGAAGCCAGAGAAAGAGGAACAGUGAUGAAGGUAAGGAUGGAGAUUGGUCACAUUGGUCGGAUAGGUAACUGGGGGUUGCAGCUGGUUGCAAUGAGCAGCCAGGGAAUGUAGGAACCUGGGAAGUGGCUCUGGGUGCAGGCAGAGCUAUGGCCAUGGUGCUGAGGUUGGAGG
rnacentral:lncRNA from 1 species